UACUAUGUGUAACGUGUCAGAGUUGUAUUGGAGAAACGCGGAUUGAAGCAGCGUACGUGCGUAAGCCUCUUUGCACUUUAGUAAGAACGCGGGUCAGAAAGACGCACACAUUUGGUAUUUGCUAAAGCUAAACUGAGAAACCAAAAUCAUCUUCAGAAGAAACAUGACAGUGCUGUCAAUGGGAUCACUGCCUUUGGGUUUCCGAUUUCGACCCACCGACGAAGAACUAAUUAACCACUACCUCAGAUUAAAGAUCAAUGGUCGUGAUUCCGAGGUGCAGGUUAUACCAGAAAUCGAUGUCUGCAAAUGGGAGCCUUGGGAUUUGCCUGGUCUAUCAGUUAUAAAGACGGAUGAUCCGGAAUGGUUCUUUUUCUGCCCGCGUGACAGAAAAUACCCCAACGGCCUUCGUUCGAAUCGUGCUACUGACGCUGGAUACUGGAAAGCUACGGGUAAGGAUCGGACUAUACGCUCUCGAAAGUCUGGCUCUGUUACUUCUAUUGGUAUGAAGAAGACCUUGGUUUUCUAUAGAGGUCGUGCUCCUAAAGGUGAGCGUACCCACUGGAUCAUGCACGAGUAUCGUGCCACUGAUAAAGAUCUCCAACCCACCAAACCCGGCCAGGGUGCUUUUGUCCUCUGUCGCUUGUUUAGAAAAUCAGAUGAGAAGAAUGAUGUUCCCAAGUAUGAUGAAGUGGAACAAGCGGGAUCUCCUGUUACAAACAAAUCUUCGCCUGAGGAUACCUCCUCUGAUCUUGUUCAAGAGACUGCAAUAUCUGAUUAUGGAACCAACGGUAAUGGUGCUAUACCUGUUGAGAGCUGCUGCAAUAGUCAUAUGACUUCUGAUGUGGAAGAACAUUCACUUUCAGUAGAAGCCACUACAGUUGAGGAAUAUCCUAUUCUGGAGGAAAAUUCCUAUCUACAUGAGCGUAGCAACGGUCAAAUUGAUUGCAAAGUAUUCUCUCCAAUGCAAUCACAAAUUUAUGCAGAGCUAGCACCAUUCAUAGAUUCACCCUAUGCCAGUGACUUUGGCAAUGAUAAUUAUGGAUUGAAUUUUCAGGAUGGCACUAGUGAACAGGAUGUUGAUUUCGCUGAGUUAGAUGAGGUCUUCAAUAACCAUGAUGAGGUUUCCUGUGAAGACUCAAGCAGUCAAAAGGACUUGCUUCUUGAAAGUGAACUGCUGUCAUCAGGUCAACAGCUACUAUCACCAGCAAACUUUUUUGCCAAAGACAAUGCUACAUACAAUCACACAGAUACUGAAAUGUCUCGUUUACAGAAUCCUGUGAACUACAGUGGUGAAUUUGCUGGUGGCACUGGAAUCAAAAUCAGAACUCGGCAGCCUCAACAAUCACCAGAUUCAUACAACUUUGUAUCUCAGGGCACUGCUCCAAGAAGACUUCGUUUGCAGAUGAAAGUUUUUACUACACCCCCAGUUGGCAAUAGCGAGGAGAAAGAUGUGAGUCACAGUAAAGAAGAAGAUGAAGUUCAAUCCGCCUUCACUGAGGUCAAUAAAGCUACAGACCAUGAUCCUACUCCAGAUGAGCAGGAUAGAGAGAGCCAGCUACUCAAGUUUAAUAAAAGUAGGGAAAUUACUGAAGAACCUUCUGCAAAGGUGAGGUUAAGGGUGAAACGGGAUAGUGAAUCCGGCAGCAGCACGACAGGACCAUCAGUAUUUCCAGAUGGAGCUCCACAGCACCCUGGUCGUAGUUCUUCAUUAAUUUAUUUGGUUAGUGUCAUGUUAGUCGUGAUCUUCUUCACAUUCUUCAGUGGGAUAUGGAGUCGUCAAAACAUCUUGAUGUUGCGCUAAGAAAACUUUAGGUAGUUUGUUGUUCUUCUGAAUGUUUACUCUGUAGGAAACAGGGAUGGGGUUGUAAAAAUUAUGUAUACGCAUAUUAUGUGUAGAUUAGGUAGUAUUCUAUAUUGGACUCUUUACUGUUAGUGUAACUUUAAGUUUUUGUACUUUCUUUCAGCGUAGCGUGAUGUUAGCUAUACAUGAUACUUAGCAUUAGGAGAGGAAGUUUUUGUUUGGUAUAUUUGCCAGUAUAGUUGUGCAAUUUGUCAUUAAUAGGUGAAGUUAUAUGGAUAACAACAAAAUGGAAGAUUUGUUUAAUUA